UCGAAAUCAUCACACGGAGUUGGAUGCUCGUUGUGGGACUUCUCUCUCUCUCUCGUUGUUGCUGGCCUUUCACGAGGCAUGUGCACACAGGAAGGUUGUCUUCAGUGAGCCUCUCCAACUUCCGAUUUCUCCACACACACACACCUGUGAACACAUGUGGAAUGAAGGGGGGAGAGGCUGGAUAACGGCCUUUCUUUUCUGACCUCCAUCUUUUUUUUAAUUCACACACGCUUGUAAAACCCGAGAUGUACUAUUUGUAAAUGAAAUAAAAA
rnacentral:misc_RNA from 1 species